rnacentral:rRNA from 1 species
GAAUUGUUCGCAAUGGGCGAAAGCCUGACGACGCAACGCCGCGUGGAGGAUGAAGAUCUUCGGGUCGUAAACUCCUUUCGAUCGAGACGAAUGCCUUGGGGGUGAACACUCCCCAAGGGUGACGGUACCGAGAGAAGAAGCCCCGGCUAACUCCGUGCCAGCAGCCGCGGUAAUACGGGGGGGGCAAGCGUUGUUAGGAAUUACUGGGCGUAAAGGGCUCGUAGGCGGCCAACUAAGUCGGACGUGAAAUCCCUCGGCUCAACCGGGGAACCGCGUCCGAUACUGGAUGGCUUGAGUCCGGGAGAGGGAUGCGGAAUUCCAGGUGUAGCGGUGAAAUGCGUAGAUAUCUGGAGGAACACCGGUGGCGAAGGCGGCAUCCUGGACCGGCACUGACGCUGAGGAGCGAAAGCCAGGGGAGCAAACGGGA